UUACCAUAAUGAGGACAUCUCCUAAGUAACUCCUUAAAUCUUUCCCAUGCAUCAUACAAGCUUUCAUCUUCAAGUUUAUUGAAAGAUGUCAUCUUAUUUUUCAAUUU
rnacentral:snoRNA from 1 species